rnacentral:rRNA from 1 species
AGUGAACGCUGGCGGUAGGCCUAACACAUGCAAGUCGAACGGCAGCACAGGAGAGCUUGCUCUCUGGGUGGCGAGUGGCGGACGGGUGAGGAAUACAUCGGAAUCUACUCUGUCGUGGGGGAUAACGUAGGGAAACUUACGCUAAUACCGCAUACGACCUACGGGGGAAAGCAGGGGACCUUCGGGCCUUGCGCGAUUGAAUGAGCCGAUGUCGGAUUAGGUAGUUGGCGGGGUAAAGGCCCACCAAGGCGACGAUCCGUAGCUGGUCUGAGAGGAUGAUCAGCCACACUGGAACUGAGACACGGUCCAGACUCCUACGGGAGGCAGCAGUGGGGAAUAUUGGACAAUGGGCGCAAGCCUGAUCCAGCCAUACCGCGUGGGUGAAGAAGGCCUUCGGGUUGUAAAGCCCUUUUGUUGGGAAAGAAAUCCAGCUGGCUAAUACCCGGUUGGGAUGACGGUACCCAAAGAAUAAGCACCGGCUAACUUCGUGCCAGCCGCCGCGGUAA